rnacentral:ribozyme from 1 species
UAGAAGAAGGAGAAAUAGAAGGAUCAAGAGAAACAGAAGUAGAAGGAUGUAUGAUAGAGAGUAUUUGGAGUGAUUUUCUCUCCCCUCCUUCUUUCUCUUCUUCUCCUUCUCUCUCUCCU